AUCGCUUCUCGGCCUUUUGGCUAAGAUCAAAGUGUAGUAUCUGUUCUUAUCAGCUUAAUAUCUGAUACGCCCCCUACCCGGGGGGCUUUGAUAUUAAACUGAUUUUUGAGCCUCGGUGAAGUGUCAGGGGCUUGCUCCACCUUCGCCACGGGUCAGCCUGGUAUUGCAGUACCUCCAGGAUUGGCCCACUCCUC
rnacentral:snRNA from 8 species